CAGCCGCCGCGGGAAAACGUAGGUGGCAAGCGUUGUCCGGAAUUAUUGGGCGUAAAGGGCUCGCAGGCGGUUUCUUAAGUCUGAUGUGAAAGCCCCCGGCUCAACCGGGGAGGGUCAUUGGAAACUGGGAAACUUGAGUGCAGAAGAGGAGAGUGGAAUUCCACGAGUAGCGGUGAAAUGCGUAGAGAUGUGGAGGAACACCAGUGGCGAAGGCGACUCUCUGGUCUGUAACUGACGCUGAGGCACGAAAGCGUGGGGAGCAAACAGGAUUAGAUACCCCUGUAGUCCCUGUCUCUUAUAC
rnacentral:rRNA from 1 species